rnacentral:rRNA from 1 species
GACGAAGGGGGCUAGCGUUGUUCGGAAUUACUGGGCGUAAAGCGCGCGUAGGCGGCUUUUCAAGUCAGAAGUGAAAGCCCCGGGCUCAACCUGGGAAUGGCCGUUGAAACUGGCGAACUGGAGUGUGGCAGAGGGGGGUGGAAUUCCGCGUGUAGCAGUGAAAUGCGUAGAGAUGCGGAGGAACACCGAUGGCGAAGGCAGCCCCCUGGGCUGACACUGACGCUCAGGCACGAAAGCGUGGGGAGCAAACAGG